CCCUUAGAUGUUCUGGGCCGCACGCGCGCUACACUGAUGCAUUCAACGAGCCUAUCCUUGACCGACAGGUCCGGGUAAUCUUUGAAUCUGCAUCGUGACGGGGAUAGAUUAUUGCAGUUAUUAAUCUUCAACGAGGAAUGCCUAGUAGGCGCAAGUCAUCAGCUUGCGUCGAUUACGUCCCUGCCCUUUGUACACACCGCCCGUCGCUCCUACCGAUUGGGUGUGCUGGUGAAAUGUUCGGAUCGGCCGUUUGUCGCGGUUUCCGCGUCAUGUGGCUGAGAAGUUCAUUAAACCCUCCCACCUAGAGGAAGGAGAAGUCGUAACA
rnacentral:rRNA from 1 species